UUACCGCGGCGGCUGGCACCGGUCUUUCCCACCCCUUACUCUAUCAGCUUUUUAGGCUGGCAAACAGUCCAUGCAAUGCAUGGACACUUGGAGUUCCCUCGUCACAGUUUCCUGCAUUGCGAAGUUUUCGCGCCUGCUGCACCCCGUA
rnacentral:rRNA from 1 species